AAACACGCACUAGUGCAGGAGAUACCGAAAGUUUUGGCUCCAAAGAAAAAUAAAAGCCGGCCCGAGCAGUUCUUCCCCAAAUCGACCCUCUUCAACUUUACCACCACCCCUUCCAAACCCUAGAUCUGGGCAGUCGGUUCUUCCCCUUCCCCGUGCGCCGCCACCCCUACAUAUCUUCCUCUUCCUCUCCGAUCCACACACUCCCUGCUAUGGCCCCACCUGGCCACCUCGCUGGUCUGCCUUUGGAUGGAACCGUCCCGGCCUAGUCAUUGUCAGAUCUGGCCGCACCGGUCGUCUGUGCUGCUGGAUAUGGCCGCUCCGGGACUCAUGACCACCACCCCGAGUGUGCACCUCUCCACCACCACUUCCCCAUCGUCUUCACCUCCGCCUCGCCCAGAUGCAGAGUAUUCGUGUGUCUCCCGAGGAGCCCGAGAGGAGCCCGACCCCGGCGGCCUCUCCAUGGACUCCCUCCACCAUAGCUAAGGCAGCGCCACUGCGUCCAGAACACGGUUCAACCUCCAGAACGCUUGUGGCAAGCACUAUAUCAUGAGUUCGAGUAGGUCGACCGCGAGCUGCAUCGACAUCGACCGAUUCUCUUCUUCUUUGGGGGCCUGCACCAUCCGCGCCGGCUGUGGAGGACGCAUGACGCGAUGCUGAUAGGGCUGCAACAUGAUGGGCAGCGGUUCUACGUCCCCUCUCCGAGCAGUUCUUUCAUGGUACUAGUUCCUCGGAGCCAUCACUAUAUAUCUUGUAUAUCUUAAUUACGUCCUAUUUACAACUAGGUAUUUGGCUUGCAAGAGGCGCCGUAUACUCAUACUUGUUGGGUAAAGCAGUGGAAGCAUAUCGAUACUCACUGACAAACUUAAUUAGCAAAGUGAUUUUUUUUCAAAAUUCAGAACUGAUACAAUUUAUUCUAGAUGCUUUUACAUGUCCUGGAACUGAGCAUUUGCAGGCCUUGUUAUUUUGAAGCCUAGUCUUUUGUUAUUGGGCUGUUCAUGAAACAUAGUUGUUGGUCUGCCCUGCCAUAGAACCAUUUAUGAAGAGCAUAGGUGCUGCCUUCCUUUGUUUCCUAUGCAUAGUCCAAUACCUAUUUUUCAGUUGUAGAAAGUGGUUGACGUGGCAUUAGUGAUUAGUAUUAUGUACACAACAGGAAUCUUGUCAUAGAUACAUACUGAAAGUCGAAAAUGAUGCUAGUAGAAAUAGGUGUUCUGUUAGUUUUUUGGGGGAAAGGAAGCAUAUCAUGUUUACAAAUUGUUUGACCUUGCAUUUUAUUGCUUACUAUUUACUAUAAAUCAAGAAUUGUACUUGGAAGUGUCAAAAUCUGUCAUUAUAAUCAGCCGUAGUAAUAUUGCUAUAGAUAUAUACACACUGAAAGUCUGAAAGAUUUCUAGUAAAAGUACAUGUCGGCUGCCAUAUCCUUUCCUGUGUCCUGUUCAUUUUUUUUAUCUUCUCUUGGUUUGAUGCUAUUAAUUUUGUUACAUAGUUCAUAGAUGUUGCUGGUUUGUACUUCAAAAAUAUUUGAAGUUAGUUUUUCUCUCUGGUUCAAAAAGUUUUAUAUCAAGCUUCUAAGUUUUGUCACAAGGAUGAGAUUGUUGAAUGCUACAAAACUUCAUACCCUUGCUGUCAUAAUUCUAUAAACUAAACCAUUCUAAACUAAGCCAACCAGAUCAUAUCCUUAAUUAACGGGUUUGUAGGUUAAGAUCCACUCGGAACUAUUUGGGUUAUCUAACUUCUUGGCAUGUUAAUUGGUUCUAGAGUCUCCCUUUUCCUUUCUUUUACAAUUGUCAUGAUUUUAAAUUGCCUUAGACAAUCUGUUUUGGCUGGUUUGAUUUAUUAGAUAACUACAAUGUGUGAUGAAUUCUUCAAUUGAUUAGGAAAGCUAGAUGUGUAAAACUUUGUUUAUGGAGCUUGCACAUUAGCAUAUCCAUUUCACUAAUUGAAGAAUAAAAGACUCAUGUUCGUGAUGCUUGACCUGGGGAUCCCGUGGAAUUCUUUUCUGUAACAUGGUUCUCAUCUCUGAACAUCCACCCAUGUUGUUUUCAUGUUAAGAUAUUAUAAAGUAAAAUACAGUAAUUGACAUAUGUUUCAUUAGCUUUUUAUACUAAUGUUUUACUUCUACGAACUAAAUUCUUGGAAAUCACAUUGAUCUCUUUUAACUAAUUCAGUAGUUGAGAAACUGUAUUAAGUUGAUUGCUCUAGUGAUAAAUUUUGCAAUACAUAAAAGCACAUAUGUGAACAAAAAUAUGCAUGAUUUACCACAGAUAUUAUAAUCCCAUUCCAUUGUGGUAGUGUCGGGGUCUACUUUUGCAGUCUGGGUCUUUGAAUAGAGCAAAAGUGCUUGAUCUAAACAAUCUUAUAUUAGUUUACAGAGGGAGUACAUGUUAACGGGAUACUAGAGCAAUUUUUGUUAUUAGAACUGGUUUACAAAUUAGCGGUGGUGUCAUUUUUCAUUUCUGUUGGGCGGGGAACUUCCAUGUUAGGAUUUAUUUACAUUAGCUUAUAGCUAGCCUGGCUAAACUGUGGACAUAUAGACAUGUGUGACGCCAUGGAAUCCUGGACCCAGCCGAUAGGUCUUUCUUGGUUUCCAAGUCUAGUUGGGUUGAAUCAGAAUCUGUUUAGAUCUUUCCUAGUUUUUGUUGGUUCAUAUCUUUCCUAAACUACCUCCAAACUGUGCCAUAAAGCUAGGCAGGGUGUAAUCAGCUGUGAAAGAAUAUACAGAGAAAGGGAGGAGGGUUACCUCGAGAACAGAUCUAUCACCCAAGGGAUCAUGGCGCCCAAGCCUAAACUCUCUCGCCCUUGCCUUCCUGACAUCCAAGAUCAUCCCCUCCAUAACCUAGGGUCGUGACAACAUGUUACAAUUGUAAGAUGCAAGAAUGUCCACAUUUCUCCUUGUUUUUAUUUACAUAGUUUAUAUCUACAGUACCCUUCCCAUUGGAUGUCCCUGUAUAGGAAAAUGUAUAGGACAAGGAAUUGAGAUAAUUUUGCUCUCUGCAAUGUAAUUUUGAUUUAUAUUUUGCUAGUACCUUUGAACAUUUGAUAUUGUUGGUACUUUGAGUAAUCUUUAACAUGCAUCCAAGGACAGGCAAUUGAAGGUAUGGACUACAACAGUACAGACUGUUAUAUAUCUGGAAUGUGAAAUUUUGGGGUGGUACUGAUUAUAGAAUGACAGACGGUUAUAUAAGAGAGAAGGUUUAUGUUCUAAUUCAUUUCCGCAACACAAGUGCUUCAAUUAUCUUUUCACUUUCAUUCGUACAAGUUUAAAAAUUUCAGCCCUCAAAGCUGUUCUUAUAUGACUAAUAUUUAGUUUUAGAUUCCUAGGUUUGCCAUGACAGACAAGAUAUGGUGGCAAGGCCUUGCUCGUUCUAGAGGACAUGGGAUACAUACAGGAAGCAGCUGAAAUUGAUGUUGGCAAGUCUGGUAUUUAGAAGACAUCUCAUGAAGUCACUCAACAAACGUUUGCGAACAAGCAAUUUGUCUUCCUGGACAUGGCUUCAGCUCUACAUCAAAGCUCAAACCAUUUGUUUAGCUUAGUUUGAUAAAAAAUAAAAUCUUAUUGUCUUGUGUAAAUUCUAUUUAUUGAUGUAGCUAGAUGCUACUGAAAACAUGUAUGUCUUUUGCUAGUUCUGAUGUUACUGAACGCAUGUAUGUCUUGUGUAAAUUCUGUUUAUCGAUGCAGCUGGAUGCUGCUGAACGCAUGUAUGAAUGUUGAAGUACUAAUAUAUAUGAAGUCAUUAUGUGUUGGAGA